GGGAGCUUGCUCCCUGAUGUUAGCGGCGGACGGGUGAGUAACACGUGGGUAACCUGCCUGUAAGACUGGGAUAACUCCGGGAAACCGGGGCUAAUACCGGAUGGUUGUUUGAACCGCAUGGUUCAGACAUAAAAGGUGGCUUCGGCUACCACUUACAGAUGGACCCGCGGCGCAUUAGCUAGUUGGUGAGGUAACGGCUCACCAAGGCAACGAUGCGUAGCCGACCUGAGAGGGUGAUCGGCCACACUGGGACUGAGACACGGCCCAGACUCCUACGGGAGGCAGCAGUAGGGAAUCUUCCGCAAUGGACGAAAGUCUGACGGAGCAACGCCGCGUGAGUGAUGAAGGUUUUCGGAUCGUAAAGCUCUGUUGUUAGGGAAGAACAAGUGCCGUUCAAAUAGGGCGGCACCUUGACGGUACCUAACCAGAAAGCCACGGCUAACUACGUGCCAGCAGCCGCGGUAAUACGUAGGUGGCAAGCGUUGUCCGGAAUUAUUGGGCGUAAAGGGCUCGCAGGCGGUUUCUUAAGUCUGAUGUGAAAGCCCCCGGCUCAACCGGGGAGGGUCAUUGGAAACUGGGGAACUUGAGUGCAGAAGAGGAGAGUGGAAUUCCACGUGUAGCGGUGAAAUGCGUAGAGAUGUGGAGGAACACCAGUGGCGAAGGCGACUCUCUGGUCUGUAACUGACGCUG
rnacentral:rRNA from 1 species